GGAAGCAAAUUUGAGGCUUGUGCCCUUGCUUCCUCACGUGGCUGCCUUGCUUUAAAUUUACCUCAGCUUCAUCUACUCUAGACAAUGUCAACCUAUCUCUUUGGGAAGUCACAAGGAUCCUGCAAGGUGAAUUCCAGGUGGAAGCCCUGCCACAGCAUGUCUUGCCAAGCGGUAUGCAGGUCUGCACACAGGAUCCAAACUGGCAAACCCUGGGCCUCCAAAGUGGAAUGUGCAAACUUAACUGCUGCACCACUGGGCUAGCCCCAGGAUUUCAUUUCUUAAAGCAUACUAUUAAAACUUUUUUCUGGAAAUGUUAUAAUAGUAUUAUGCAAGUUCAGUACAUGACCUACAAGAGGAAAUAAGGAGAGGGAGUAAAAUAAUUUCAAGUCCUUCUGGCUUCUAAUCAAAGAAUCAGUUUAACAGCUUUUAGCUCCUAUUUCAAUAUUUAUGAAAACUCUGAGCUUUAUUUCCUGUUUUUUUUUAAAAUUCUAAUGUCAAGUGGGUUAUUUCCAGGCUAAAGGCAUUUGGUUCCUUCCUUAGUAUUUGCUCAUUCAACUAUUCAGUCAGAGGCAUAAUUCAUUUGGAGAUGUAGUGGCAGACAAAUGUCUCCAUUCUGCAAAUUAUAACUCAGGACACAAUCAUAUGCAUAGUGCCUUU
rnacentral:lncRNA from 1 species